GAACCGGUGUGGUAGUAGUUAAGCAAUGGUGUGACACAGGAAGGCAGUCCAGCCCGGGCGAUGGUUGUCCCGGGGUAAGGCUGUAGGGGGUGUUGUAGGUAAAUCCGCAACACACAUACCCUGAGAGCUGAUGCCGAGCCGUAAGGCGAAGUGGAUGAUCCUAUGCUGUCAAGAAAGCAUCUAGCGAGAAUUAUUGCGGCCCGUACCCGAAACCGACACAGGUGGUCAGGUAGAGAAUACCAAGGCGAUCGAGAGAAUCAUGGAUAAGGAACUCGGCAAAAUGCCCCCGUAACUUCGGGAGAAGGGGGGCCCUUCGACGUGUAGGAGUUUACCUCCGAAGCGUUGGAAGGCCGCAGAGACCAGGCUCAAGCGACUGUUUACCAAAAACACAGGUCCGUGCGAAGUAGCAAUACGAUGUAUACGGACUGACGCCUGCCCGGUGCUGGAAGGUUAAGGGGACUGGUUAGCCGCAAGGCGAAGCUGAGAACUUAAGCCCCAGUAAACGGCGGUGGUAACUAUAACCAUCCUAAGGUAGCGAAAAUUCCUUGUCGGGUAAGUUCCGACCUGCACGAAUGGCGUAACGACUUGAGCGCUGUCUCAUCCGUGAACUCGGCGAAAUUGCAUUACGAGUAAAGAUGCUCGUUACGCGCAGAAAGACGGAAAGACCCCGGGACCUUUACUAUAUCUUGAUAUUGGUGUUCGGAUCGGUUUGUGUAGCAUAGGUGGGAGACUUUGAAGCGGGCACGCCAGUGUUUGUGGAGUCAUCGUUGAAAUACCACUCUGAUCGUUUUGAACUUCUAACCUCGGUCCGUAAUCCGGAUCAGGGACAGUGUCUGGUGGGUAGUUAGACUGGGGCGGUCGCCUCCUAAAAAGUAACGGAGGCGCUCAAAGGUUCCCUCAACCUGGUUGGUAAUCAGGUGUCGAGUGUAAGUGCACAAGGGAGCUUAACUGUGAGACAGACAUGUCGAGCAGGUGCGAAAGCAGGAACUAGUGAUCCGGCGGUGUCUUGUGGAAGCGCCGUCGCUCAACGGAUAAAAGGUACCCCGGGGAUAACAGGCUGAUCUUGCCCAAGAGUCCAUAUCGACGGCAAGGUUUGGCACCUCGAUGUCGGCUCGUCUCAUCCUGGGGCUGGAGUAGGUCCCAAGGGUUGGGCUGUUCGCCCAUUAAAGAGGCACGCGAGCUGGGUUCAGAACGUCGUGAGACAGUUCGGUCCCUAUCUUCUGUGCGCGCAGGAAACUUGAGAAGGGCUAACCCUAGUACGAGAGGACCGGGUUGGACGAACCUCUGGUGUGUCAGUUGUUCCGCCAGGAGCACCGCCGAUUAGCUACGUUCGGAAGGGAUAACCGCUGAAAGCAUCUAAGCGGGAAGCUCGCUUCGAGAUUAGGUUUCCCACUGGUUUACCAGGUAAGGCCCCCAGCUAGACGACUGGGUUGAUAGGCCGGAAGUGGAAGAGUCGCAAGACUUGGAGCUGACCGGUACUAAUAGGCCGAGGAUUUAACUCA
rnacentral:rRNA from 1 species